rnacentral:snRNA from 1 species
GGAGCCGUGUGGUGAGCACAAAGCGAACUAUUCUUUCGCCUUUUACUAAAGAAUACCGUGUGCU